rnacentral:rRNA from 1 species
UACGGAGGGUGCAAGCGUUAUCCGGAUUUACUGGGUUUAAAGGGUGUGUAGGCGGGCUUUUAAGUCAGUGGUGAAAUCUCCGGGCUCAACCUGGAAACUGCCAUUGAUACUAUUAGUCUUGAAUUUUGUUGAGGUAGGCGGAAUAAGUCAUGUAGCGGUGAAAUGCAUAGAUACCACCCAGAACUCCGAUUGCGAAGGCAGCCUACUGGAGGUUAACCGACGCUCAGGCACGAAAGCGUGGGGAUCAAACAGG